UACGUAGGGGGCUAGCGUUGUCCGGAUUUAUUGGGCGUAAAGGGCGCGUAGGCGGCCUGUUAAGUCGAACGUGAAAUCCCCGGGCUCAACCCGGGAACUGCGUCCGAUACUGGCAGGCUUGAAUCCGGGAGAGGGAUGCGGAAUUCCAGGUGUAGCGGUGAAAUGCGUAGAUAUCUGGAGGAACACCGGUGGCGAAGGCGGCAUCCUGGACCGGCAUUGACGCUGAGGCGCGAAAGCCAGGGGAGCAAACGGG
rnacentral:rRNA from 1 species